UGACCUCUCCAGCCUAGCUGGGUGUUGGGCUUCGCCGUCUGGCGGGCCUUAAAAGCAGUGGCGGUGCUCUGAAGCUCUACGCGUAGUAAUAUUUUCUCGCGCCAGGGUCGGACGAGAGGCUGGCCAUCAACCUCAACUUUCUCA
rnacentral:misc_RNA from 1 species